rnacentral:rRNA from 1 species
UGAUCCUGGCUCAGGACGAACGCUGGCGGCGUGCCUAAUACAUGCAAGUCGAGCGAAUCUGAGGGAGCUUGCUCCCAAAGAUUAGCGGCGGACGGGUGAGUAACACGUGGGCAACCUGCCUGUAAGACUGGGAUAACUUCGGGAAACCGGAGCUAAUACCGGAUAAUCCCUUUCCUCACAUGAGGAAAGGCUGAAAGACGGUUUCGGCUGUCACUUACAGAUGGGCCCGCGGCGCAUUAGCUAGUUGGUGAGGUAACGGCUCACCAAGGCCACGAUGCGUAGCCGACCUGAGAGGGUGAUCGGCCACACUGGGACUGAGACACGGCCCAGACUCCUACGGGAGGCAGCAGUAGGGAAUCUUCCGCAAUGGACGAAAGUCUGACGGAGCAACGCCGCGUGAGUGAUGAAGGUUUUCGGAUCGUAAAACUCUGUUGUUAGGGAAGAACAAGUAUCGGAGUAACUGCCGGUACCUUGACGGUACCUAACCAGAAAGCCACGGCUAACUACGUGCCAGCAGCCGCGGUAAUACGUAGGUGGCAAGCGUUGUCCGGAAUUAUUGGGCGUAAAGCGCGCGCAGGUGGUUCCUUAAGUCUGAUGUGAAAGCCCACGGCUCAACCGUGGAGGGUCAUUGGAAACUGGGGAACUUGAGUGCAGAAGAGGAAAGUGGAAUUCCAAGUGUAGCGGUGAAAUGCGUAGAGAUUUGGAGGAACACCAGUGGCGAAGGCGACUUUCUGGUCUGUAACUGACACUGAGGCGCGAAAGCGUGGGGAGCGAACAGGAUUAGAUACCCUGGUAGUCCACGCCGUAAACGAUGAGUGCUAAGUGUUAGAGGGUUUCCGCCCUUUAGUGCUGCAGCAAACGCAUUAAGCACUCCGCCUGGGGAGUACGACCGCAAGGUUGAAACUCAAAGGAAUUGACGGGGGCCCGCACAAGCGGUGGAGCAUGUGGUUUAAUUCGAAGCAACGCGAAGAACCUUACCAGGUCUUGACAUCCUCUGACAAUCCUAGAGAUAGGACGUUCCCCUUCGGGGGACAGAGUGACAGGUGGUGCAUGGUUGUCGUCAGCUCGUGUCGUGAGAUGUUGGGUUAAGUCCCGCAACGAGCGCAACCCUUGAUCUUAGUUGCCAGCAUUCAGUUGGGCACUCUAAGGUGACUGCCGGUGACAAACCGGAGGAAGGUGGGGAUGACGUCAAAUCAUCAUGCCCCUUAUGACCUGGGCUACACACGUGCUACAAUGGAUGGUACAAAGGGCUGCAAGACCGCGAGGUUUAGCCAAUCCCAUAAAACCAUUCUCAGUUCGGAUUGCAGGCUGCAACUCGCCUGCAUGAAGCCGGAAUCGCUAGUAAUCGCGGAUCAGCAUGCCGCGGUGAAUACGUUCCCGGGCCUUGUACACACCGCCCGUCACACCACGAGAGUUUGUAACACCCGAAGUCGGUGGGGUAACCUUUUGGAGCCAGCCGCCUAAGGUGGGACAGAUGAUUGGGGUGAAGUCGUAACAAGGUAGCCG